UGCCCCCCUGGCAAUGGGCAAAGAGACACCUCAAUGGUGGUGUUGCUCUUAUAUCAGUAAGGGGCAGAGUAGAACACAGUCCUUUGUUCAUCCUAGCUUGAUGCCUGUGUUGGUGGCCAGAGCUAUUUCAUGCCUAGGGCACAUAA
rnacentral:snoRNA from 1 species